rnacentral:rRNA from 1 species
UUGACCUCGGAUCAGGUAGGGAUACCCGCUGAACUUAAGCGGAAAAGAAACCAACAGGGAUUGCCUCAGUAACGGCGAGUGAAGCGGCAAAAGCUCAAAUUUUAAAGCUGACAUCUUCGGUGUCCGCGUUGUAAUUUUGUGAGGCAUCUCCGGGUAGGGCGCCGGCCUAAGUUCCUUGGAACAGGACGUCACAGAGGGUGAGAAUCCCGUGCUUGGCUGGCUGUCCCCGUCCAUGUGAGGUGUCUUCGACGAGUCGAGUUGUUUGGGAAUGCAGCUCAAAAUGGGUGGUAAAUUUCAUCUAAAGCUAAAUAUUGGUGGGAGACCGAUAGCGCACAAGUAGAGUGAUCGAAAGAUGAAAAGCACUUUGAAAAUAGAGUUAAAAAGUACGUGAAAUUGUUGAAAGGGAAGCGCUUGAGACCAGACUUCGGUAAGGGGUGAUCAGCCGUCCUUCUGGGCGGUGCACUUGCCCCCCUCCGGGCCAGCAUCGGUUGAGGCGGCGGGAUAAAGGUCCCGGGAAUGUGGCUCCUUCACGGGAGUGUUAUAGCCCGGGUGAAUGCCGCCAGCUUCGACCGAGGACCGCACCCGC